rnacentral:rRNA from 1 species
GAUGAACGCUGGCGGCGUGCCUAAUACAUGCAAGUCGAGCGAACAGACGAGGAGCUUGCUCCUCUGACGUUAGCGGCGGACGGGUGAGUAACACGUGGAUAACCUACCUAUAAGACGGGGAUAACUUCGGGAAACCGGAGCUAAUACCGGAUAAUAUAUUGAACCGCAUGGUUCAAUAGUGAAAGACGGUUUUGCUGUCACUUAUAGAUGGAUCCGCGCCGCAUUAGCUAGUUGAUAAGGUAACGGCUUACCAAGGCAACGAUGCGUAGCCGACCUGAGAGGGUGAUCGGCCACACUGGAACUGAGACACGGUCCAGACUCCUACGGGAGGCACCAGUAGGGAAUCUUCCGCAAUGGGCGAAAGCCUGACGGAGCAACGCCGCGUGAGUGAUGAAGGUCUUCGGAUCGUAAAACUCUGUUAUUAGGGAAGAACAAAUGUGUAAGUAACUAUGCACGUCUUGACGGUACCUAAUCAGAAAGCAACGGCUAACUACGUG